rnacentral:tmRNA from 1 species
GGGGGCGACUGGUUUCGACGGGUAGGUUGAAGCUUCAGUGGCGUGUCGAGGUUGGUCUCCAGGCCUCGUAAAAAGGAGCCCGAAAAACACAAAUGCUGACGAAAGUUACGCACUGGCUGCAUAAAUGCGCCACGUCUCUACUCUGACUCCCGCUAAGGGAUAGAGGCGACGACAGCGGGAUAAGGCCAAUACCGGGGAUCCGGGUUGCGGCACGAAAAUGAUAACAGGAUUCUAGCGACCCAAGUGGCCCCGUCGGGGGGCAGCGAAGGCGGCGAAUCUUUUAAUCCCCGACUACACACGUAGAAGCUGUAGUGACUCUUACUCGGACGGGGGUUCAACUCCCCCGCCUCCACCA